rnacentral:rRNA from 1 species
AGGGUUUUACUGUCUCCCCCUUUUAAUCAGUGAAACUGAUCUCCCCGUGAAGAAGCGGGGAUAACUAUAUAAGACGAGAAGACCCCAUGGAGCUUUAAACCCAGCAACACCUAUCUUUAUACACCCUUAUAUUCACGUAACUCUACUUGCUCGGUUUUAGGUUGGGGUGACCGCGGAGCACAACAAAACCUCCACGAAAAAAGGACCAACAAUCCUUAUCCAAGAUGCACAUAUCUAAGAAUUAAUAUAUUAACUUUUAAUGAUCCGUUAUUCGAUCAACGAACCAAGUUACCCUGGGGAUAACAGCGCAAUCUACCUCGAGAGCUCCUAUCGACAGGUAGGUUUACGACCUCGAUGUUGGAUCAGGGUAUCCCAGUGGUGCAGCAGCUACUAAAGGUUCGUUUGUUCAACGAUUAAAACCCUACGUGAUCU